UCGGAGGUCCAGACUCGGUAUUAAAUAGCAAGCCAUAUGAAGAUUUUGCAUUUAAGUGGCGGCCAUUUUUGGUAGAUACAGUGAGCAGUGGGCAAACAAAUCAUGCCCUGUCAUAGCAUUUUGUAGGUAGAUUGCGCCGAGUACUGUCCAUUCAAACUCCAUCUCCAUGAGAAAACAUCCUAGCACUAUUUAGCUGUAUGUUAUUGACGGCGGACCAAAUGUUCGAGAAUUGUUGUAGACCUUGCAGACCGGCAUCCUCGUUGAAGAACACUAUUCAAUUUGCAUCUGCUCCGUUUUCAACAGCCCUAUUCAUGAGCAGCCUGUCCAGACAAGCCCGACCCGAAAGCCCGGCAUCCGAUCCAGCCAUGGGCUCAACUUUGUCGUCCGAAGCCCAAACAAAGGCCGAAUGAGUUUUAAAUAAUUGUUUUAAUUUAAAAAUAGGUACAGUACUAUAUUUCAAUAACCUGGAAGUAAUUACUUUAAAUAAGAAGGGUACUGUUCAAAUGUUUCUGGCCGGGCCGGAUCUGGGUUUGAUAUUCUUGCUUCGGGCUUUGUCAAGCCCGGCCCGUCCAAGGGCAUGAUCUGGUUCCAGGAAGCCCAAUGCUUGCUUUCCAGUUCGGGGCUGUGUCCACGUCAGUGAUCCGAGGCACUUACCCCUCCACCAAUCAGCGCUCACCUCUCCUCCCCUAUAAAAUCGAACACCCACCCCGCUCCAUUCCCCACACCAUCUCAGUCCCCACCUUUCCCUUCCAGCAAACUCACGCAACCCCACCCGAAGCUCCCAACCCCACCCGAAGCGGCCGCCAUGGCCCCCAAGGCAGACAAGAAGCCGGCCGCCGAGAACAAGGUGGAGAAGGCGGCGGAGAAGACCCCGGCGGGCAAGAAGCCCAAGGCAGAGAAGCGGCUGCCGGCGGGCAAGACGGCGUCCAAGGAGGCCGGCGGCGAGGCGAAGACGAGGGGCCGGAAGAAGGGCAGCAAGGCCAAGAAGGGCGUGGAGACUUACAAGAUCUACAUCUUCAAGGUGCUGAAGCAGGUCCACCCCGACAUCGGCAUCUCCUCCAAGGCCAUGUCCAUCAUGAACUCCUUCAUCAACGACAUCUUCGAGAAGCUCGCCGGCGAGUCCGCCAAGCUCGCCCGUUACAACAAGAAGCCCACCAUCACCUCCCGGGAGAUCCAGACCUCCGUCCGCCUCGUCCUCCCCGGCGAGCUCGCCAAGCACGCCGUCUCCGAGGGCACCAAGGCCGUGACCAAGUUCACAUCCUCCUAGACUGACCCUGCGUCGCUUGCUGUCACCUGCUUGUGGUCGCUGACUCUGCUUAUGUAUCUGCAAGUAGUGGUAGGAGUGGUCGUCUGUGUGCCAACGCUUUGUUGGCUAGUUGGUUGUGGGAACUGAAGUUGCUGAUCUAUUUGAAUGUUAUUGUUUCAAGUAGUAGUACUUUUGCUGAAUUUCAGGGGAAUCGCUGAAUGCUUGCUGUCGCCUCGUUGGUGUGAGAACUGAAUUUUGUCAUGCCAACUGAGAUUCAGAGAAGUCAGAGAUAGUUAUGCAUUUCUGUAUUGGUAAUUUCGAGUUUUACUAGGUGCUUAAACUAAUCUCUGCCAUGUUUGUGCUUUCAUUUCGUAACG
rnacentral:lncRNA from 1 species